rnacentral:rRNA from 1 species
CCAGAUUGUUGCUCUUGCGGGAGGGUCCGUAUCCGCUCUAUACCUUUGUGAACAUACCUACAACUGUUGCUUCGGCGGGUAGGCCGUCCCCUGAAAAGGACGCCUCCCGGCCCGGACCGGACCCCCCGUGGGGCCGGACUCGGCGCCCGCCGGAGGAUAACCAAACGCUAUUUUAACGACGUUUCUUCUGAGUGGCAUAAGCAAAAUAAUCAAAACUUUUAACAACGGAUCUCUUGGUUCUGGCAUCGAACUAGAACGCAGCGAAAUGCGAUAAGUAAUGUGAAUUGCAGAAUUCAGUGAAUCAUCGAAUCUUUGAACGCACAUUGCGCCCGCCAGCAUUCUGGCGGGCAUGCCUGUUCGAGCGUCAUUUCAACCCUCAAGCUCUGCUUGGUGUUGGGGCUCUACGGUCGACGUAGGCCCUCAAAGGUAGUGGCGGACCCUCCCGGAGCCUCCUUUGCGUAGUAACAUUUGCUCUCGCACUGGGAUCCGGAGGGACUCUUGCCGUAAAACCCCCCAAUUUUUCAAGGUUGACCUCGGAUCAGGUAGGAAUACCCGCUGAACUUAAGCAUAUCAAGAGUCGGAGGAAUCAUUACUGAGUUACCGCUCUAUAACACUUUUGUGAACAUACUACAAUGUUGCUUCGCGGGUAGGGCGUCCGCAAAAGGAAGCUCCGGCCGGACGGGACCCCGUGGGGCGGAUCGGCGCCCCCGGAGGAUAACAACGCUAUU